CUCUGAUUCAGAAGCCUCAAGCCCCUCGGUGAGGACCCGGGGUCUGAGGAUCUCAGCAAAACCCAUUCCACAGCCUCGUCCCAGUGAUGGUGAGUCGUUGGCGCCGCUCUGCCUCCGCGGAUGGUCCUGCGCAGGCCUGAGCCUAUCUGUGACCAGGCCCUGGUCUGUUCUGCGCCCUCCCUAACACUAAGGAUGGAGCUGAGCGCCAGCUUUGUGCUAGACGCCUUACAGACAUCGUCUCAUUCGGCCCUCACAACCCCUGUGAAAGGUAGAGAGACUUAGGCCGUGUCAACAGGGGUAACGGCAAACGUCAGAUGGCCAUCUGCGCCGAGGUGUUUCCGUCCUCCUGGGCUCACAGGUGCCCUGGAAGGGGAGCGCCCCGGUCCGCCUCCAGCCUGGAGCAGGAGACCCGGUUCUACUGCCCCGGGGAGGGUGCAGGGUGCGCCCCGGAGAGCGCCAGCACCUGCUCCGGAGCGAGGCCUGUGGAUGGGGGACCCUGGUUCUGCUGCGUCCUGGCUGUGUGGCCUUGGGCAAGUGACUGCGCCUCUCUGUGAAGUUGCCUCGUACGUAAAACGUGUGAAAGUAGCAUCUAUGACACGGUUGUGAGUAUUAAACGAGCUAAUACAGACAAAGCACUUAGCACCGUGCCCGGCACCCAGCAAGCUCUCCGUGAACUUUACAACCGCUGCUGCUCUGCCAUCAUCCUUCCUGACUCACGACAGCUCCCCGCGCGGACUCCUCGCCAGCUGACCUGGACAGAGCCCCUCUCUUCCUCUUUAGCCCUCCCACAGGGCCGGGCUAUCAAUCACAGAGAGCCCCGCCCAGAGGCGGGCGCAGGACUCGAGCUGGCCAAUCAGAGUACCCCCAUCCUCUAGGACUGAACCCACCAGCUCCGGAUGGGGACAGCGAGGGUUUGCGUGCACCCAGCGAAGAGAGCGGCAGAGCAGGGAUUCAAACCCGACACCGCUCAGCUUCUGCCUUCCCCGCGCUGCUUUGCCUCCGUGUUUCCCAGGGGCGCGGGGCAGUUGGGGCAGGACCACCGGGCCUCUUUCCCGCACUAAACAGUCAGCAUCUCCAGCUCCUGCUCUAAACGCCAGGAACAACACCCACCCCGCCAGUAAUUGUGACAACUCGAAACCCCCCAUCCAGGUCCAAAUGCCCCGCCCGAGGGCCGCUGCAUCAAACCCGAAUCCUAGCGCCGUCACCCUGAACCCGCAAAAGUCCAUCCGAAGGGGGCCGGACGCCUCCAGGGAGACCUGACCCCGCCGCUGCUCUCUUCCUAUUUCUGAGUCGAAAUCCAGCUCUGGUGUAAACGCCAGCCCGACUCUAAGCACGAUCACGUUCCUGAAUCGCUUGUUAAACUCGGUACCGACCUCGCUCGCAGACCCGGUCCUGCAGAGGCCGUCCCCGAUCUGUCUUCGGCCCAUCUAGAUGGACCCCUUCACUACACAUCCUCGCCUCAGCUCGCUCCUUUUUUAAAAUGUGCUCUCCACAGCCCUUCUGACUGUACAAUUCCCACCGGCUCGCGUCCUGUUCAACAACUUUCAAGGGUUUCUCAGUGCCCACCAGUGCCCACCAGUGCCCACCGGCAUGAAAUGUCAUCUCCAGUGUGGCACGAACACAACUUUCCAGUUGUAGCCAUUAGCACCAGGUUAGACUACAAGUAACAGAAAAUCCCCAUGUCACAGUGAAUUAAACAAGAUGGGUUUGCUUUCUUCUCUCUCUCUCUCUGUCUCUCUCUCUCUCUCUCAUCAAGGCUCCUAGCUGGUUACUCCAUGGUCACAGCUCACACUCCCAAGGUUGCCUCAUGGCCCAAGAUGGCUGCUACAGCUCCAACCAAUACGUCCUCUUUCCAAACGGUGGGAAGUAAAAAGUAACCAAGAAGGGUGUACCCCUCCUGUAAAGGACACUUCCCAGAAGCGGCACGCACACCUCCACUUACAUCCUGAGGGUCAGAAUUUGGCCACAUGGCUGCAAGGAAAACUGGGGUGUAUUUUUUUCUGGGUGUCCGUAUGCUCAGCUACAAAUCAGGGGUUUUAUUAUUAAGGAAGAAGAAGACAUAUUGGAGGAAAGUAGAUGCUUCUGGACCAUUCUCUCUCCUUCUCUAACCCUGAGAAGGACCUCAGUUUUGAAUCUCGUAUCAUCAGACUACACCAUUCUUUGAAGGAUUUGGUUCCUGGCUCACUGACUCUCCAGCACGUCCCUGUCCUAAUACGGGGUGAUUUCCAUGUCCAGGAAAAACCCUCCCAACGCCCAGUGUCUCGGUUCUUUGGCCUCCUUUUCUCUAAGAUCUUGCCCUCCACUUUCCUCUGCUGGGAGAUUUUCUCAUCACUUUAUCACAACUGACCGCCCAGAUUUCCACUCAAGCCCUCCCACCCUGACCCAGCCCACGCCUCGCUCCCCCACUCCCACCACCUCUCAACCUCCCCAGAAACUACGUCCACUGAGGGAUCUGUCACUUUGUCCCCUUCCCCUUAGCUUACAAAUAUGUUAUCUUCCUGGGCUUAAAAAAACAAAAACCGCCCUCUUGAAUCUACUUCCCCUGGAGAUACCGCCCCGUUUCUCUGCUCCCCUGGUCGUCCUCCGUUCCUCUGCCCCCUUUCUCUUUAAACCCUCUCCAAACAGGCUUGGACUGCCACCACCCACUCCUCCAAAACCGCCCUUGGCUGUGUCACCGUCAACCUCCGCGGUACGCACACAGACCAGCCACCUUGCCUCGCUCGCAGAUGCUGGCCGAGCCAGGCAGCCGGGCUUGGUGUCUGUGCUCAGGAUGCUGUGCUCCACUCUUAGGACUGUCUGCUCUCGCUCAGCGGUGCCAGACGCGGUUGCUCGCUCCCUCCUCCCUCUCUGGCUCCUUCUCAGGCUCCUUUGCUGGUCCCUCCUCACCUCCGGGGACAUCCUAAUAGUGCGGUGCCCCCUCCUCUGCGGUCCCCUCCCCCUCCCUCCUUCCCUCGGCCGGCCGUCUCAGCUGUUUACGGGCUCAUGACUCCUGGCUUUGUAUCUCUAGCCCACACCUUGCAUCCAGCUGCCCGAGGGACGUCACACCUGGAUGUCCAAUUGGCCCUUUAAACCAAAUGCCCGACACCGGACCCCUGAGCUUCCUCUCCGCAGUCCUCCUCGUCCCGGUUAAUGGGACCUGAAAGCAAAGCCUGGGUGUCACCCGGACCCCUCACCCCCUACACCCUAGCCUGUUGUGUCCACCACCUUAUCAUCCGGCCCCUGCAGCAGCCUCCUCGCUGGCCUGCUCGCCUCCCCAGCCCUCCUAAAUCUGCUCUCCACACAAACGCCACAGUGAUCACAUUAAAACUUGCUCAGAACCCUCCCAUGCUCCCCAGUUCUCACCAAGCAGGACCCAACAUUACCUUAACCCCUGGCUCCCCAGCCCCCAUCGCACCCCCAGUACUUCCAUGGCCUUGUCCACUACUCUCCCCCUCACUCACUCUGUUCCAGCUUUGCUAUUCUGCAAAUGUGGCAGAGCACGCUCCUACCUCAGGGCCUUUGCACUUGCUGUUCCAUCUGCCUGGAAUGCUCUUCCCGAGAUAUGGAUGUGGCUCAUCCCUCACCUCUUCAGACCUUUCCUCAAAUGUCACCUUCUCAGUGAGACCUUCCCUGAUCACGCUGUCUUAACUUGCAACCUUCCCUCCCCUCACACUUUUACACUUUUUCCUCUCUUCCCACU
rnacentral:lncRNA from 1 species